rnacentral:lncRNA from 1 species
UUUUAUUGCGUCGUGUUUCAUUACUCGUAUAAAAGCACAUAAAAUUUUUGAGAGAUAGGUGUUUGCUUAUUUCGCUCAAUGCUCUUUACUGCCAUUUUCCCAGUAUCUGGUAGAAUGUUGAAUAGUGGAGAGAGUAGAAAUAUUUUCCUUGUUUUCUGUCUUUGGGUAACAGCUUUCAAUGCUUCACACUUACGUAUAAAAUUACCCUUAGCUUUCUCAUAGAUAGCCUUCAUCCACUCAAGGACUUUUUCUUCUAUUAUUAGUUUAAUGAGAAUUGUUUUCAUGCAUAGAUGUUGAAUUAUUUCAAAUACUUUUACUGUUUCUGUUGAAAGGAUCAUAUGGCUUUUCUGCCUUAUUCUACUCAUAUGAAAGUGACGUUGACUGGUUUUCAAUUGAUGGACGAACCUUGUAUGGCUGGAAUAAGCCCCACCUGGUCAUGAUGUAUUAUUCUCUGCACAAAUUGCUGGAUUCAUUUGCUAUGUUGUUAAAGAUUUUGUGUGUAUGUUCAUGAGGGAUAUUGAGCUUAAAAAGAACCUGGAAUGGUGAAUCUGCUUUGAUGUUUCUAUCCAUGAAGAAUAUCUGAUGGAGUAUAAUAUUUCUGCCUUGAGAUUUUGCAGCAUCUCCCAGAUCUGUGUGGAAUUUGUUCAGAUUAAAGCUCCCGGCUGUCCUUCUUGGUCCUGCCUUGUGAGUUUCUCCUUGUGAAUGCACAGAACAAUGUGCCUCUCUUUGAUUGCGACCCUCUCAAUCCUUUCUAGAGGAAAUCAUUGGCUAUUGUGAUUAGCCCUGAGCUAACUACUGCCAGUCCUCCUCUUUUCUGCUGAGGAAGCCUGGCCCUGAGCUAGCAUCUGUGCCCACCUUCCUCUACUUUAUAUGUGGGACACCUACCACAGCAUGGCGUGCCAAGCGGUGCCAUGUCCUCACUUGGGAUCCGAACCUGCGAACCCUAGGCCGCCGAGAAGCGGAACGUGUUUAUUUGGAUUCCCAUUUUUAUUCGGGUUUCUAGUGGUUACUGUAGAAAUCCCAGCAUGCUCCUCUAAGUCUUCUGCGGCCCUGGGAAGUGGUCUGCAUCCGCCUCUGAGGCUCUCCUUUCACAGAUCAGACCUUCCUAAAUACAAAGAGUCAUUCUCAAGAAUGCGAACAAUGACUUUAUUUGUGAAAAUGAAUAACACUGAAAUCUUAUUUAUUGAUUCAGAAGAGGACUUAAGAUAUAUCAUUCUGGAUCCCUUAUAUUCAGAUCCUCAUUAGUGAAAACUGCCAAAAUUCAUCUAAUCAGUUUUCACAGCAACAUUUAAGAAAUACAAUAUGCUUAUAACUUUACAAAGAGAGGAAUUUCAGAAAGUACAAUUUUGAAUUCCAUCAUUACUACUGCAAUCAUAUUCUCAAGGUAUGAGGCAAAAUAAUGUGGAACUGCUAGUUACAUGUAAGUAUAUUUGACAUUUUCAGCAGUCCUCCUCCAAAAGAAAAGAAAAAGAGAGAAUGA